GGUUAAGCGACUAAGCGUACACGGUGGAUGCCCUGGCAGUCAGAGGCGAUGAAGGACGUGCUAAUCUGCGAUAAGCGUCGGUAAGGUGAUAUGAACCGUUAUAACCGGCGAUUUCCGAAUGGGGAAACCCAGUGUGUUUCGACACACUAUCAUUAACUGAAUCCAUAGGUUAAUGAGGCGAACCGGGGGAACUGAAACAUCUAAGUACCCCGAGGAAAAGAAAUCAACCGAGAUUCCCCCAGUAGCGGCGAGCGAACGGGGAGCAGCCCAGAGCCUGAAUCAGUGUGUGUGUUAGUGGAAGCGUCUGGAAAGGCGCGCGAUACAGGGUGACAGCCCCGUACACAAAAAUGCACAUGCUGUGAGCUCGAUGAGUAGGGCGGGACACGUGGUAUCCUGUCUGAAUAUGGGGGGACCAUCCUCCAAGGCUAAAUACUCCUGACUGACCGAUAGUGAACCAGUACCGUGAGGGAAAGGCGAAAAGAACCCCGGCGAGGGGAGUGAAAAAGAACCUGAAACCGUGUACGUACAAGCAGUGGGAGCACGCUUCGGCGUGUGACUGCGUACCUUUUGUAUAAUGGGUCAGCGACUUAUAUUCUGUAGCAAGGUUAACCGAAUAGGGGAGCCGAAGGGAAACCGAGUCUUAACUGGGCGUUAAGUUGCAGGGUAUAGACCCGAAACCCGGUGAUCUAGCCAUGGGCAGGUUGAAGGUUGGGUAACACUAACUGGAGGACCGAACCGACUAAUGUUGAAAAAUUAGCGGAUGACUUGUGGCUGGGGGUGAAAGGCCAAUCAAACCGGGAGAUAGCUGGUUCUCCCCGAAAGCUAUUUAGGUAGCGCCUCGUGAAUUCAUCUCCGGGGGUAGAGCACUGUUUCGGCAAGGGGGUCAUCCCGACUUACCAACCCGAUGCAAACUGCGAAUACCGGAGAAUGUUAUCACGGGAGACACACGGCGGGUGCUAACGUCCGUCGUGAAGAGGGAAACAACCCAGACCGCCAGCUAAGGUCCCAAAGUCAUGGUUAAGUGGGAAACGAUGUGGGAAGGCCCAGACAGCCAGGAUGUUGGCUUAGAAGCAGCCAUCAUUUAAAGAAAGCGUAAUAGCUCACUGGUCGAGUCGGCCUGCGCGGAAGAUGUAACGGGGCUAAACCAUGCACCGAAGCUGCGGCAGCGACACUAUGUGUUGUUGGGUAGGGGAGCGUUCUGUAAGCCUGUGAAGGUGUGCUGUGAGGCAUGCUGGAGGUAUCAGAAGUGCGAAUGCUGACAUAAGUAACGAUAAAGCGGGUGAAAAGCCCGCUCGCCGGAAGACCAAGGGUUCCUGUCCAACGUUAAUCGGGGCAGGGUGAGUCGACCCCUAAGGCGAGGCCGAAAGGCGUAGUCGAUGGGAAACAGGUUAAUAUUCCUGUACUUGGUGUUACUGCGAAGGGGGGACGGAGAAGGCUAUGUUGGCCGGGCGACGGUUGUCCCGGUUUAAGCGUGUAGGCUGGUUUUCCAGGCAAAUCCGGAAAAUCAAGGCUGAGGCGUGAUGACGAGGCACUACGGUGCUGAAGCAACAAAUGCCCUGCUUCCAGGAAAAGCCUCUAAGCAUCAGGUAACAUCAAAUCGUACCCCAAACCGACACAGGUGGUCAGGUAGAGAAUACCAAGGCGCUUGAGAGAACUCGGGUGAAGGAACUAGGCAAAAUGGUGCCGUAACUUCGGGAGAAGGCACGCUGAUAUGUAGGUGAGGUCCCUCGCGGAUGGAGCUGAAAUCAGUCGAAGAUACCAGCUGGCUGCAACUGUUUAUUAAAAACACAGCACUGUGCAAACACGAAAGUGGACGUAUACGGUGUGACGCCUGCCCGGUGCCGGAAGGUUAAUUGAUGGGGUCAGCGCAAGCGAAGCUCUUGAUCGAAGCCCCGGUAAACGGCGGCCGUAACUAUAACGGUCCUAAGGUAGCGAAAUUCCUUGUCGGGUAAGUUCCGACCUGCACGAAUGGCGUAAUGAUGGCCAGGCUGUCUCCACCCGAGACUCAGUGAAAUUGAACUCGCUGUGAAGAUGCAGUGUACCCGCGGCAAGACGGAAAGACCCCGUGAACCUUUACUAUAGCUUGACACUGAACAUUGAGCCUUGAUGUGUAGGAUAGGUGGGAGGCUUUGAAGUGUGGACGCCAGUCUGCAUGGAGCCGACCUUGAAAUACCACCCUUUAAUGUUUGAUGUUCUAACGUUGACCCGUAAUCCGGGUUGCGGACAGUGUCUGGUGGGUAGUUUGACUGGGGCGGUCUCCUCCUAAAGAGUAACGGAGGAGCACGAAGGUUGGCUAAUCCUGGUCGGACAUCAGGAGGUUAGUGCAAUGGCAUAAGCCAGCUUGACUGCGAGCGUGACGGCGCGAGCAGGUGCGAAAGCAGGUCAUAGUGAUCCGGUGGUUCUGAAUGGAAGGGCCAUCGCUCAACGGAUAAAAGGUACUCCGGGGAUAACAGGCUGAUACCGCCCAAGAGUUCAUAUCGACGGCGGUGUUUGGCACCUCGAUGUCGGCUCAUCACAUCCUGGGGCUGAAGUAGGUCCCAAGGGUAUGGCUGUUCGCCAUUUAAAGUGGUACGCGAGCUGGGUUUAGAACGUCGUGAGACAGUUCGGUCCCUAUCUGCCGUGGGCGCUGGAGAACUGAGGGGGGCUGCUCCUAGUACGAGAGGACCGGAGUGGACGCAUCACUGGUGUUCGGGUUGUCAUGCCAAUGGCACUGCCCGGUAGCUAAAUGCGGAAGAGAUAAGUGCUGAAAGCAUCUAAGCACGAAACUUGCCCCGAGAUGAGUUCUCCCUGACUCCUUGAGAGUCCUGAAGGAACGUUGAAGACGACGACGUUGAUAGGCCGGGUGUGUAAGCGCAGCGAUGCGUUGAGCUAACCGGUACUAAUGAACCGUGAGGCUUAACCUU
rnacentral:rRNA from 1 species